rnacentral:rRNA from 1 species
GUAGGGAAUAUUGGGCAAUGGAUGCAAGUCUGACCCAGCCAUCCCGGGUGCCGGAAGAAGGCCCUCAGGGUUGUAAACGGCUUUUGACGGUGAAGAAUCGACAGGAUGCGUCCUGUUUUGACGGUAGCCGUUGAAUAAGCACCGGCUAACUCCGUGCCAGCAGCCGCGGUAAUACGGAGGGUGCGAGCGUUGUCCGGAUUUAUUGGGUUUAAAGGGUGCGUAGGCUGGAAGGUCAGUCAGCGGUGAAAAGCUGUCGCUUAACGAUAGUCUUGCCGCAGAUACUUCCUUUCUUGGAUGAGGAGGAGGCCACUGGAACGGAUGGUGUAGCGGUGAAAUGCAUAGAUAUCAUCCAGAACACCGAUUGCGAAGGCAGGUGGCUGUACCUUAAUCGACGCUGAUGCACGAAAGCACGGGGAGCAAACAGGAUUAGAAACCCCUGUAGUCC